rnacentral:rRNA from 1 species
CAGCACCUCAAGUGGUCAGGAUGAUUAUUGGGUCUAAAGCAUCCGUAGCCGGCGCUGUAAGUUUUCGGUUAAAUCUGUACGCUCAACGUACAGGCUGCCGGGAAUACUGCAGCGCUAGGGAGUGGGAGAGGUAGACGGUACUCGGUAGGAAGGGGUAAAAUCCUUUGAUCUAUUGAUGACCACCUGUGGCGAAGGCGGUCUACCAGAACACGUCCGACGGUGAGGGAUGAAAGCUGGGGGAGCAAACCGGAUUAGAUACCCGAGUAGUCC